UCUCCGUUGGUGAGCCAGCGGAGGGAUCAUUACCGAGUUAUCAACUCCCAAACCCCUGUGAACAUACCCAACGUUGCUUCGGCGGGACCGCCCCGGCGCCCUCGGCGUCCCGGAACCAGGCGCCCGCCGGAGGACCCAAACUCUUGUUUAAACCAUAGUGGCAUAUUCUGAGUCUCACAAGAAAAAUGAAUCAAAACUUUCAACAACGGAUCUCUUGGCUCUGGCAUUGAUGAAGAACCAGC
rnacentral:misc_RNA from 1 species